AAUAUAUAUGCGCUGCCAGUGCAUUGAAACACAUUCAGGAUCACCAAUUCGUAUUGAAAGAAUACUCUCAUUAAAGGUGAUUCCUGCUGGACCACAUUGCAAAAAUGAGGAGAUCAUUGCUAUGAUGAACAGAGGACAGAUGUGUCUCGAUUCUAAAAAAGACUGGGUGAUUUCUCUCAAGGAAGAAAUGAACAAGAAGAAACUCAAGAGCCAGUAAUGAAUGAGAAUCACCAUCCUAAAAACAAGAGCAAGUGAUUCAUUUAAGUAUUACUACUGUAAUAUAGAAUAUUUAAAUUAUGAUAAAUGAAUUAUUGAAUGUAAAAACAUUCGUUUUAUAAAAUGUGAAUUGAUUUUUUUUUUUUACUGUAACUUUGCCUGACCUUAAUUUUUUAUAUAUGUAUAUAUUUGUUACUGAAUUGUAGUUUUUUUAUGCUGAUAUAGUUUUAUAUUGAUUUUGAAAGAUGACAUAUGCGUAUACUAAUAAAAACUGUUUUAAUUAUCAUAA